AAGUCGUAACAAGGUUUCCGUAGGUAUGUGAAUAUCAUCUCGAAUCCUUUAAUCUUGAUUUAUGCUAACUAUUUUCUAGGUGAACCUGCGGAAGGAUCAUUACUAGUUUAGGGUACUCAGUGCCCAAACUUCAACCCUAUGAUUUACCAAUCUGUUUCUUUGCCGGGUUCAAGGUCCCCUAAAGACUACUCGGCAAAAGAUUUCUAAAACUCAACUGAUAAAUUGUCAUCUGAAAUUUGAUAAUAAAUCAAGUAUAAAACUUUCAACAACGGAUCUCUUGGUUCUG
rnacentral:misc_RNA from 1 species